GGCCUGGCUGGGUGGUCUUGCCGCAAGGUAAGCACUGCUCUGGUCGGGUCUUUCCUUCUGGGGAACCAGCGUGCUCUUAAUUGAGUGCGCUGGGGAUCCAGGACUUUUACUUUGAAAAAAUUAGAGUGUUUAAAGCAGGCAUACGCUUGAAUACUUCAGCAUGGGAUAAUGGAACAGGAC
rnacentral:rRNA from 1 species